rnacentral:rRNA from 1 species
GACGAACGCUGGUGGCGUGCUUAACACAUGCAAGUCGAACGGAAAGGCCCUGCUUUUGUGGGGUGCUCGAGUGGCGAACGGGUGAGUAACACGUGGGUAACCUGCCCUUGACUUUGGGAUAACUUCAGGAAACUGGGGCUAAUACCGGAUAGGAGCUCCUGCUGCUUGGUGGGGGUUGGUAAGUUUCGGCGGUUGGGGAUGGACUCGCGGCUUAUCAGCUUGUUGGUGGGGUAGUGGCUUACCAAGGCUUUGACGGGUAGCCGGCCUGAGAGGGUGACCGGCCACAUUGGGACUGGGAUACGGCCCGGACUCCUACGGGAGGCAGCAGUGGGGAAUAUUGCACAAUGGGCGGAAGCCUGAUGCAGCAACGCCGCGUGCGGGAUGACGGCCUUCGGGUUGUAAACCGCUUUCGCCUGUGACGAAGCGUGAGUGACGGUAAUGUGUAAAGAAGCACCGGCUAACUACGUG